UACAGAGGUCUCAAGCGUUGUUCGGAUUCAUUGGGCGUAAAGGGUGCGUAGGCGGCGCGGUAAGUCGGGUGUGAAAUCUUGGAGCUUAACUCCGAAACUGCAUUCGAUACUGCCGUGCUUGAGGACUGGAGAGGAGACUGGAAUUUACGGUGUAGCGGUGAAAUGCGUAGAUAUCGUAAGGAAGACCAGUGGCGAAGGCGGGUCUCGUGGACAGUUCCUGACGCUGAGGCACGAAGGCCAGGGGGAGCAAACGGGAUUAGAACCGUACGU
rnacentral:rRNA from 1 species